rnacentral:rRNA from 1 species
CCAGACUCCUACGGGAGGCAGCAGUGGGGAAUAUUGCACAAUGGGGGAAACCCUGAUGCAGCAACGCCGCGUGAGUGAAGAAGUCAUUCGUGAUGUAAAGCUCUAUCAGCAGGGAAGAAAAUGACGGUACCUGAGUAAGAAGCCCCGGCUAACUACGUGCCAGCAGCCGCGGUAAUACGUAGGGGGCAAGCGUUAUCCGGAUUUACUGGGUGUAAAGGGAGCGUAGACGGUCCUGCAAGCCAGAUGUGAAAGCCCGGGGCUCAACCCCGGGACUGCAUUUGGAACUGUGUGGCUGGAGUGUCGGAGAGGCAGGCGGAAUUCCUAGUGUAGCGGUGAAAUGCGUAGAUAUUAGGAGGAACACCAGUGACGAAGGCGGGUUCCUGGACAUUAACUGACGCUGAGGCACGAAGGCCAGGGGAGCGAAAGGGAUUAGAUAC